GAUGAACGCUGGCGGCGUGCCUAAUACAUGCAAGUCGAGCGAACAGACGAGGAGCUUGCUCCUCUGACGUUAGCGGCGGACGGGUGAGUAACACGUGGAUAACCUACCUAUAAGACUGGGAUAACUUUGGGAAACCGGAGCUAAUACCGGAUAAUAUAUUGAACCGCAUGGUUCAAUAGUGAAAGACGGUUUUGCUGUCACUUAUAGAUGGAUCCGCGCCGCAUUAGCUAGUUGGUAAGGUAACGGCUUACCAAGGCAACGAUGCGUAGCCGACCUGAGAGGGUGAUCGGCCACAAUGGAAAUGAGACAAGGGCCAGACUCCUAAGGGAGGCAGCAGUAGGGAAUCUUCCGCAAUGGGCGAAAGCCUGACGGAGCAACGGCGCGUGAGUGAUGAAGGGUUUCGGAUCGGAAAACUCUGUUAUUAGGGAAGAACAAAUGUGUAAGUAACUAUGCACGUCUUGACGGUACCUAAUCAGAAAGCCACGGCUAACUACGUG
rnacentral:rRNA from 1 species